rnacentral:rRNA from 1 species
UACGUAGGGUGCGAGCGUUAAUCGGAAUUACUGGGCGUAAAGCGUGCGCAGGCGGUUUUGUAAGUCAGACGUGAAAUCCCCGGGCUUAACCUGGGAAUGGCAUUUGGGACUGCAAGGCUGGAGUUUGGCAGAGGAGACUGGAAUUCCCGGUGUAGCAGUGAAAUGCGUAGAUAUCGGGAGGAAUACCGAUGGCGAAGGCAGGUCUCUGGGCUAUAACUGACGCUCAUGCACGAAAGCGUGGGGAGCAAACAGG